UAGUCAACCUGCCCUGGAGACCAGAAUAACCCCGGGAAACUGGGAUUAAUACUGGAUAGGUCAUCUCAUCUGGAAGGAGAGAUGGCUUAAAGGGGUGUGUGAGCUUCUUUCAUACAGCUGCUCCAGGAUGGGACUGCGACUGAUCAGGCUGUUGGCGGGGUAAUGGCCCACCAAACCAGUAACCAGUACGGGCCUUGAGAGAGGGGGCCCGGAGAUGGACACUGAGAGAAGGGUCCAGGUCCUACGGGGCGCAGCAGGCGCGAAACCUUCGCAAUGCGCGAAAGCGUGACGAGGUUAAUCCGAGUGGUUCCCGCUGAGGGAAUCUUUUGUCGGCUCUAAAAAGGCCCGGUGA
rnacentral:rRNA from 1 species